GUACUGGGACGAUUCCGCGGAGCCGGGCAGAGGUUUUAGGGGUGCGCAGGAGUCAAGUGGUGGUUCAGUGGGGACGGUGAGGUGGAGGACGAUCUGGUCGGAUAGCCGCGGGCACGAACCUGGGAACCAGAGGGUGGAGGCCAUGCUGGGGACUGAUGUAGGGCGGGACCGACUGGAAGCGGCAUCCAGAGGCCCAGUGAGCCUCGGUCUCAGCUCCUGAAGGGGUUGCAUGGGGCCCUACGCUUCCUUCUCCAUUUUUUAGCUAAGAGAUUGAGAGAGUCGGUUUACUUUUGGGCUUGGAGUAUCAUUUAGAUCUGUUAACAGUACAGUUGAGAGAGUUGGUGUCUUUUGUUGAGGUGCGAGGACCCGAGGCGGCGACCCUCGCCUUUAUUCGGAGAAGCCCACUUCCACCCACAGAGUUGGGGUAGUCCUCCGAAAUGCAUUUUUGUUUUGCCGUUUGUUUUCCAACCCCCUUUCACUCUCCCCAAAGCUUCAGAUUCACUGAUUUUUCAUACAGGAAUGAUUAACAAAGGCGUCCGAAGAAAUCGUUGUUGGAAGGUGACCAAGGUGGAAAGAGACGUUGCUUUGGCCCUGCAAGUAAGAAGAGAGAGGGAAUAGCCUGAAGGAGUAACACUAAAUUUAAAAUGACACUUUUUUACCAACCAGCGAAAGCAGAUGUUCAAAGGGGAUAUUGGCCAGGUGCGGUCGCUCACGCCUUUAAUCCCAGCACUUUGGGGGCAGACGCGGGGAGAUAGCGUGAUUCUAGGAGUUCAACCCCAGCCUGGGCAACAUGCGGAGACCCCGUACCGUCUCUACAAAAACAUUAAACAAAAAAAUUAGCUGGGCAUGGUGGUGUACCCCUGUAGUUGCAGCUACACUAGAGGCUGAGGUGGGAGGAUCGCUUGAGCCCGGGAUGUUGAGGCUGCAGUGAGCCUCGAUCCUACCACUGUGCUCCAGCCUGGGCGACAGCAAGCCCGUGUCUCAGAAAAGGCGGGAGGGGUGGGAUAUUAUUGAUGAUAGGCCUUCUGACGUCUGGCAAUAGAUUCCAGAGUAACAUCGGUCAUGGAUAAAUUUUUUUUUUAACUAAGUGACUGAAACCAAAGUUAAUUGUCUUUUGAGUGAUUUUGCACAGUAUCUCAAAAUGAACUGUACUUUUUUUCUUGUGUCACUGAAACAGUGCUGUGUGUUCUUUUUCAGAGUCUGUCACACUAAGAUGAGAAAUGUCCUUUCUUCCUGAAGGUGUCUGAUGUGUAAAAAUAUGAUAUACUUUGUGCUGUUUCCUCCCUUCCCUUUUGCAUAUUAUUCUGAAACAACAUUAACUAGUUACUUUGCGUCAUUGAAGGUAUGCACUUCCCCUCUAUGUUAGGAGUGAAUAAAAUUAAAAAUAGAUCCUUAUAACAAAGAAAGGCAGAUAGAAUGAUUAAAAAUGACCAAAACAUGUUAGAAACAGUCUCUCAGGUGUAUGCAGAUGGUAAUUACAAAAAUACUUUUUCAAAAAAUGAUCUUCUGUGUCAUGUUUCUGGGAACAAGUCAAGAUGAAUGAGUUUGAUUUUUAAGCAGAAGUAGUAUGUGUUGGUGUCAUCCAUGAAUACAACAAUGAAAAAGGCUCAAAGUUGUUGUUAUUCAGAAACUUCUCUAAGUAAUGGUGGUAAGUACAGGAAAAGGAGCAAUGUCUACCAUUUUCUUUCUAACCUUCGAUUUAACUAUUGUAAUGUUGUAAGCUUAACAGAGACUUACACUUAGGCUUAAUUUCAAGCUCUUCAAUCAUUUUUCCCGGUUGGUGAUUCAGGUGUAUUCUCAUGUCUUAUGUAAACUUAUCAUGAGUGUUGUUGAUUUAUAAUAUAUUUCUUUAUGUAAGCCAUAGCCUUGUCAGUUUGAGUUAUAUGGAAGACAAAUUGUAGGGAAAAAGAGCAACAGAUUACUCAGAAACCUUCUGUGUGAGCUGGGCAUAGUAGUGCAUGCCAGUAGGCUUAGCUACUUGGGAGGCUGAGGCAGGAGGAUCACUUGAUCCCAUUAGUUUGAGGCUGCAGUGAGCUAUGAUUGUGUCACUGUACUCCAAUCUGGACAACAGUGAGACUAUGUCUGUUUUUAAAAAAGAAAGAAAGCUUGUGUUUGAGAAGUGAUACCUCUAGAAUACAGUGAUUUCUAUAAUUUGUCAUGUGUUUGGGUAGUUUGAAGUUUUUCUAUCCUUGUAUCUAAUGGACAUCUGACCAUAAAGAUGAAAAAAUCCUGCACUCAUUAUAAAUUUUAUUUAUAAAAUUGAUAUUUGAGGAGUUGGGGAGGCCAGCUUCUGAAAAAAUAACAGUGUCCCAUAGAAACACCACAACUUAGGAAAAUAUUGUUAAAGUGGAAUUAGGAAUAUCUAGAGGAGGUAAAGCUUUUCAUCUCUCAAAAAAGAAUUAGGGCCAGGCACAGUGGCUGACACCUGUAAUCCUAGCACUUUGGGAGGCCGAGAUGGGCACAUCACUUGGGGCCAGGAGUUCAAGACCAGCCUGGCCAACAUGGCGAAACCCCAUCUCCAAGAAAUAGAAAAGUUAGCCAGGUGUGGUGGCGUGCGCCUGUAAUACCAGCUACUAGGGUGGCUGAGGCAGGAGAAUCGCUUGAACUGGGGAGGUGGAGGUGGCAGUGAGCAGAGAUUGAGCCACUGUACUCCAGCCUGGGCAACAGCAAGACCCUAUCUCAAAAAAAUAAUAAAGAGAAUUAGGACAUGGAUUUGUAUUAAAAUUAUAGGUAGCUCAUUUAAGAGUAUGAAGCCAAUUGCUGUUAGAGCAAGGGUUUUUUUCAGUAGAGGUGUCAGGAUAACCUAUACAGCUCUAAAAGUAUAUGGCUGUUACCUUCCCAUCCCUGUUGAAAUCUCCAGGGUUAGAACCAAGUAUUGUGUUUUUAAAACUAUAGGUGAGUCUACAAGAGUUGGGUGGAGUAGUCCUCUACAUCCUGUGUUUGUAUUUUUGCAGUAAGUCACACAAUAACAAAAGCUUUGAGAAAGAUUUUAGGUUUAUUGCUAAUUAUACCCAUGAAUGAAUUCUGAAAAUGUGUAGAUAAGGAAUUUACCUGGUGAACGGUUUACACAUGGCAAUUGUGGGAGGGAGAGGGGAGUGAGAGGAGAUGAGAUCAGUUUUAGCUUUAAGAGGACCAACCGGGCCAAGCACGGUGGCUCACGCCUGUAAUCCCAGCACUUUGGGGCCGAGGUGGGUGGAUCACGAGGUCAGCAGUUCAAGACCAGCCUGACCAACAUGGUGAAACCCCGUCUCUACUAAACAUACAAAAAAUUAACUGAGUGUGGUGGCGGGUGCCUGUAAUCCCAGCGACUUGGGAGGCUGAGGCAGGAGAAUCGCUUGAAACUGGAAGGCGGAGGUUGCAGUGAUCCGAGAUUGUGCUAAUGCACUCUAGCCCGGGCAAUAACAGCAAAACUCCCGUUUAAAAAAAAAAAAAAAAAAGGGACCAACCAUGAUAUCCUGACUAACCUGUAUAUUUCUUAGAAUGAGGGUUUAGCCUAAUAUUAAGAAAGUCUAAUGUUAAGAGACACCUAGUAAGAGCUCAACGCUGUGGUAAAAUUAUGAUAGUUAUGCAGAAACUUAAAAGCUGAAGUAUCCAGAGACAAUAUAUUGUUUAGAAUUUUCUGAAAAUAAAAAUUUUCUUGCCCUAAGUCUUGAAUUUUUAAGUUAUUGAUGUUAAUAUUUAUGAUCUUUGAACAAAUGAUAUUAUAAUAGAGUAUCUUUUAGGUCACAGAGACCCCUUUUUAGAGCUGAGAAAUCUUACAAAUUCCUCAGCCCAUGUUUUACAGAUAAGGAAAUGGGCAUGCACACAGUGAAAUUAAAAAUUGCUAGUGGUCACACUGUACAUUGAUGGCAAAGGCAGGGCAGAAUUAGAAUCCAAUUAUCUUACCUGUUCAGUGUCUUUAAUGAUACAGCAAGCUCACCACUGUUUCUCUUUACUCUUUAAACAGUGGAUUUUUUUUGUCAUGAUUUUGAUUUCUUGUAUAAUGCAGUUCAAUACUUGUUUAAUUUUAAUGUUGGACUCUCAAUUUUUAAGACAGUAGUACACAUGAAAUGUGCUUUAUAUUUUAUGUUUCAACAAGAAAAUACACAUUUUCCUUUUAAUAGAGGAGCUUAAGUUCCUAAUUUAAAUAAUUGAGUAUGAGCUUCAGAUACUUCAGAGUGGUAUUAAUAAACUUUGCUUUUCCAAAUGGUUUCAGAUAAGCAUUUAAUAUUCAAAGCUUCCUCUUUACAGCUUAGGAAGUGGUCUGGUUAAGUGACUUGAGUUCAUACAGGAAUAUAUCGGUAUGUUCCUAAUUCCCAUCAAGUGUACCAUUAUGUAAUCAUAUAAUCUUGCUAACAGAUCUAACAGAUUACUUUUUUUUUUUUUUUUUUUUUGAGACAGAGCCUUGCUCUGUCGCCCAGGCUGGAGUGCAGUGGCGCGAUCUCUACUCACUGUAACCUCCGCCUCCCAGGUUCAAGCAAUUCUUCUGCCUCGGCCUCCCAAGUAGCUGGGACUACAGGCAGGCACUACCACACCCGGCUAAUUUUUGUAUGUUUAGUAGAGACGGGGUUUCACCAUGUUGGCCAGGCUGGUCUGGAACUCUUGACCUCAAGUGAUCCGUCUGCCUCUGCCUCCCAAAGUGCUGGGAUUAUAGGAGUGAGCCACUAUGCCUGUCCUCUAGGGAAAAUCUUUAAUUCAUUCUGGACAAUGAGAAAACUUUUAUUUUUACUUUUAGUUAACAAUACUCAGGAAAAUAAAAAGUGUGCUUUUUAAUCUUAGUAACCCAAUUUGAGUUUGAAACAAAUUUACAUAAUUUUAGCUGCUUAAUAUGCUGCUGAAGAUAAAUGCAGUAAAUAUCCCAAGGUCAAGAUUUGAAAUCCAAAUGUCCAUAGUAAUGAUUAACAGGAAAAGAGAGUCCUCUGUUAACUUUAUUUCUCAAUUUUUUACAGGUUUGGAUAAUUAAGGGAGCACUAGAAAACUUUUUUUUUUUUUUUUGAGAUGGAGUCUGUUGCCCAGGCUGGAGUACAGUGGUACGGUCUCGACUCACUGCAAUCUCCGCUCCUGGGUUCAAGUGAUUUCUCUUGCCUCAGUCUCCUGACUAGCUGGGAUUUACAGGCGCAUGCCACCAUGCCCAGCUAAUUUUUGUAUUUUUAUUAGAGACGGGUUUCAUCAUGUUGGUCAGGCUGGUCUCAAACUCCUGACCUCGUGAUCCACCCGCCUCGGCCUCCCAAAGUGCUGGGAUUACAGGUGUGAGCCACCGUGCCCAGCCGAAAAUGUUUCUUUGCAAGGAUAAAUAUAUGAAGAUAAACUUGCCGAGCGUAAAUAUGUUCAUGAAUAUAGCCACUUAAGGAAAUUCAAACAUGCAGAGAUGUUCAGCUGUAUGCAGUUAUGUAUUCAUGAAGUAUUCAUGUAUUCAUGAAGCCUUAUUUGAUGUAGAAUCUGAGGGUGCUGCCUAUACAUAAACUUGCUUAAAGGUUAAAACUUAAGGAAUGUUCAUCAAAGUCACUUUCUUACACCUAACUCCUGAUUUCAUGAAUAUAACACAUAGGUGCUUAUCAAACUGAAUACCUUGGAGAUGAGCUGCUCCAGCACCAGAAGAUAAAAUUCAGUAACUGUAAUCCUUGAGGUACCUAAGUGAUACAUUUUUUUUAAGACUGAGCCAAAAUAAAACAGCUUUCCUCCUUCCCUACCCUCUCCGACCAAACUUUUAGCCAUUUUAUUUAUUUAUUUAUUUGAGAUGGGGUCUAGCCAUGUGGAGUGCAGUGGCUAUUCACAAGCAUGAUCAUAGCAAAUGACAGCCACAGACUCCUGGGUUCGAGCAAUCCUGCCUCAGCCACUCAAGUAACUAGGACUACAGGCGUAUACUGGGGCUUCUAGCCAUUUAUAUGGUAUUAAGUGACAGCUUCUAUAGUUACUUGGUACUUGUCCCUGUAAAACUGCACAGUGUGUAUUCUCUUGGCUCAAUUAUUAGCAUAUUCUGCCAUUUCCUUGUGAAUGUUUUGUAUUUUAUAUAGGAAAACUUAAGUUUUUAAAUAUCCUGAAAUAACUGAAGAAUUUUGUUUUUGCCUUUAAGUGGUAAUGUAUAAAGUAUACUAUUGCAGAGAUACUUACAGAGUGCUUUCAUUGCAAUUAAAAUACUGCAGCUAACUAGCAUGUUCCAUAUGUGUAAUCUAAAUGACAUACUGGUCAUGUGCUAUUUCUAUGGAAUACUAACAGUAGUAUGGUACAUUUAUGCAGUCUCAACAGUUUAAAGUGUUAUUUUGGUGAUAAACUGUUUACAUUUAUUUGUUUUUAUAUUUGGCAGUCUAAAUGCAAGAGUCUCCAUUUCAGCUCUUUACUCUGCAUAUCUUUAAUGUUGGGCAUUAUGCCUCUUUCUUGAGUUUCAGUCCUAUGACUGUUCCAUUUUCAGUAUUCAUGUUUAUGUGUCUUUCUAAAAUUGUUUUGCUUCUGUUUCUUGCUGCUCUUGAGACAAUUUAUGGGCAAAUUUUGUUACUUUUCAACUGGCCGUGUAUUUCCCUGUGAAGAGUUGCUGGAUUGUCUCAUUUUCCAGAUAAACUGAAUUAAUGUAGUAGUGAGGAGAAGCCAGAUUUCAGAGGUUUGACAAGUGAACAAAUGGGAAUGAGAAAAGAAGUAGGUACUUAAACUUUUAAGAAGUUUGGCUCUGAAAAAGGCAAGAAAUAAUGGGUUAGAGAGGGCAGGAUUGUAAGGAUUUAAGAUAGGAGAAGAGGCAUAAGCAUAUUUAAAUUUCCCUACUUAAGGGCCAAAAUCAUACUGUACCUCAGUCUGAACUUUUUAAAGGAAUUCAAGGACACAAAAUUCUGCCCUGCCCUGAAAUCCAGUCAGGAGGAAGGGAGAAGAGCUCUGAAGUACUUUUGUAAUUUUCUUCUACAUAAUAAUUGAUUUUUGUUUGAUUAUUUUUCUUUCCUAUAGCUCCUGUUUGCCAGGUUUUUCAUAGCUGCCUAUUUAACCAAACUUGUACUCCCAAGAAUAGUGCAUAUUUAUGAUUCUUAAUUCCAAAAACACAUGGCAAUGAUAAUGUCUCUGCUUCUUUUGAGAAAUUAACUUGGUUCUGAAAGAUGGUGUUUGCUUUUCACACCUGUAUCAUUAAUACUUCCUUGCCAAACCUAACUAGGAUCCUCACCACCACUGUUAGAGAAAACUGAUGCUCAGUUGAACCAGAAUGUUAAAUGUGAACAGGAUUUGUCUGUGUUGUUGCCCAGCUAUGUUUAUCCAUACACAUUACCUGGAGGAAGAGAAAUCUGAGAUAAUUGAGUUGAUUAGAUUACUUACAUGAAGAUGGUUUAAUUGUAUCAAUACAGAAAAAUGCACAAGGAAAGAAACUGACACCUUAAGGCAACAAAGCCCUCCAUAAAAAGUAACCGAAUUUUGAGAGUUACGAACUAAUGUCCAUUACCUGAAGUCCUUCUCAUUCCAUUACCCAGUAACAUAAAUCAAAUUCAGUAAAUAAGCUGCUUUAUGUCUUGAGAAAUUUAACUGGCAGAAUAAAUGGAAAGAAGUCAGUAAAAAGGGAGCAGUUGAACAAGCAUGGUGUCUCACACCAAUAACCCCAGCACUUUGGGAGGCCGAGGCAGGUGAAUCACUUGAGGUCAGAAGUUCAAGACCAACCUGGCCAACAUGGUGAAAACCCAUCUCUACUAAAAAUGCAAAAAUUAGCUGGGCUUGGUGGCAGGUGCUUGUAAUCCCAGCUACUCAGGAGGCUGAGGCAGGAGAGUCACUUAAAACCCAGGAGGCAGAGGCAGUGAGCUGAGAUCGUGCCACUGUACCCCAUCCUGGGCAACAGGACGAGGCUCCAUCUCAGGGAAAAAAAAAAAGAAAAAGCUGAGCAUGGCGGCAUGUGCCUGUAGUCUUAGCUACUCAGGAGGCUGAGGCAGGAGGAUCACUUGAGCCCAGGAGUCGUAGGUUGCAGUGGUGCCAUUGUGUUCCAGCCUGGGUAAGAGUAAGGCCCUGUUUCAGUAAAAAGAAGGGAGUAACCAAGACAGGUAGGGAUUCAGUAUAAUAAAAGUCAAAAGUAGUUGUUUAUUACUAGAGCCUGGCACUGUAACCUGGUAUGUCCAAAUGUGAUUUAAUUUGCUCUCAAGAUGUGCACCAGAAGAAAUAACCCGAGGCAUUUCAAAGAAAAAACAAAAUGUGACCUGCUAGUUCUGUUACUCUGCCACAAGUUAACACAUUUUGAACUUAAGUGCAGAGUCCCAUACAUCCAGUGUGACUCCCCAAAUCUCAAAAAUUUAGGCUAAAACCUAAUUUUGUGUCCAAGCCAGUGCCUGCUUGUUCCUGCUGAAUUUAAAACUUUGGGUCCAGCAAUCUUCUAUCGCUGGAGGGAGGGAGAGGUAUGAAAAUAAUGUUUAAUGGUAAUUGUUUAUUGUCAUGGGCCCAUAUUAUACCCAGAUUUAGAGAGCUAUUUGACACACCUGUAACCUAAUGUUUAUUUUAACUUAAUAUCUGCUCAGUCAGGUAAGAGAUGCAACUUCACAGAGGUCCAUUUAACGUGCCUAAACCUAAGUAGAAACACAAAAGCUAUGUAUAGUCCCUUGUUUGAGAUAACACUAAAUUUUUAGAGAAUAGCUUGGUACUGUGGUAGACAGAGUUCACUUAAAAUGCAUUUAACAAUUUACAGAUAACUGGAAAGUAAUUCAUUCAUCUUAGAACCCUGGUAGGGACAUUCUAUUAAAAUAUUUGUGUACUAGUUAAAGUCAAAAUAGAAAUACAGCCUAUCACACGGUAUUUAUACUAUGCAUUAUGAUUAAUAAAGCCACCUAAGGUCGUUACUCCAUGAUCAUGGGAAGUUGUUAGUCAUUAAGAGUUCGGGUUUAGCAACAAAAAUCUUGCGUUUGAAUCUAAACACAUUACAUGAUUUUAAGCAUGUUCAUCAUUCUGAGAUUAAAUAAAAAUUAAGGAAAUAUAUGAAAAAUGCUUAAUAAGUACCCAAAAGGUAAUAUGGUGUAGCAACUUAGAAUGUAGACUUCAGAGCCAGUCAGCUAGGAUUAAAAUGACACUUCGGCCAAUCACUGUUGACUAUAAGCAAGUUAUUUAACUCUGCCUCAGUUUUGUCUGUGAAGUAGGGAUAAAAUCUUCCUCGCUAGGUUGCUAUAAGAAUUAAAUGGAUAUAUUAAGUACUAUCAUGUGAGAUCACUUUAUUUGAGGCUAAAAAAAUUUUUUUUAACUAGGAUUCACUGAAAAUACAUCUAUAAAAAAGCCACUCUUUAUCAUGAGAAGUAUGAUUUUCUGUACCUUAGGUGUUAUAAAGCAAUAUCCCCUCAGUUUUAACUUUACCAAAAUACCUGUCUUAGUAAAUGAUACUAUAUAUACCAAAUAUUGCAUAUGUGUAUAUAAACUUCAACUGUCUACUUCUAUCACUGACAGUUUAAAAAUUGAGAUAAAGUAAGUAUUAUCUGAGUAAUAUAACCAUUUUCUAUUUAUUUAUUUAUUUAGAAACAGUCUCACUCUGUCACCCAGGCUGGAGUGCAAUGGCUCGGUCUCAGCUCACUGCAACCUCCGCCUCCUGGAUUCAGGCAGUUCCCCCACCCCACCCUCCCGAGUAGCAGAGACGGGGUUUCACUGUGUUGGCCAGGCUGGUCUCGAACUCCUGACCUUGUGGUCUGCCCGCCUCGGCCCCCCAAAGUGCUGGGAUUACAGGCGUGAGCCACCGCACCCAGCCAAUCUAACCAUUUUCAAGAUUUGAUCUGCAAAUACCUGAAGUAAGUACAAGCACUGUGGCCCAGUUAAAGAGUGUUAGAACUGUAAGAAGUCCAAAGGCAUAGCUAAGAAUUGCUUUAGAGUCAGUUGUGGGUUCUGAAUUCUUGCUCUGAUAGUUAGCAACUAUGUCUACUUUGGCAAAUUUAGGUUUUGAAGCCUUCCAUAUCUUUAAAAGGAGGUAACAUUUAACAGAGCACCAAAUACAAGGUUUUCUGUAAUAUUAGUUCCAUAGCAUGGUCUGCAAACUUCCAACAUCAGAAUCUCCUGGGAUAUAUGCUAAAUGCAGAUUCUGGUUUCCCAACCAGAAUAUACUGCUUAAAAAUCUGAGGGUUAGUUCUAGGAAUCUGCAUUUUUUUCUAUACAAUGUAUGUAUUAGGGUUCCCUGGAGGGACAGAACUAAUAGGAGAUACAUAUAUAUACACACAUAUAUUUAUUAAGUUUAUUGAGAACUUACACGAUCACAAGGUCCCACAGUAGGCUGGCUGCAAGCUUGAGGAAAAGAGAGAGCCAGAGUCUGAGUCUGAAAACUGAAGAACUUGGGGGUCCAGUGUCUGAGGGCAGGAAGCAUCCAGCGUGGGAGAAGGAUGGAAGCUGGGAGGCUAGGCCAGUCUCUCCUCUUCACGUUUUUCUGCGUGCUUAUAUUCUACCUAUGCUGGUAGCUGAUUAGACUGUGCCCACCAGAUUGAGAGUGGGUGGGCCUUCCCCAGCCCACUAACUCAAAUGUUAAUCUCAUUUGGCAACACCCUUACAGACAAACCCAGGAUCAGUAUUUUGCAUCCUUCAAUCAAGUUGACACUUAGUAUUAACCAUCACAAUGUAUGAUUUUUAAAAUCUGCAUUUUUAAUAAGCUACUAGUUUAUUUUUCCACCUAAUCCAAUUCCUAAUUUUAUUUGAAAGCACCAAGGUAAAUAGUUCCUAAAUCACUGUUAUUUAAAUUGUGCUCCAGUACCCCUUAUUCUUGCUGCAAUUCCAAGACAGAGAUAACAAAAAUUUUUUUUUCAAUGUUUUGUUUUUUUGAGACAGAGUCUCGCUGUGUCCCCCAGGCUGGAGUGCAGUGGCUCGAUCUCGGCUCACUGCAAGCUCCGCCUCCCGGGUUCACGCCGUUCUCCUGCCUCAGCCUCCUGAGUAGCUGGGAUUACAGGCAUGUGCCACCACACCCUGCUAAUUUUUUGUAUUUUUUUUUUUAGUAGAGACGGGGUGCAUGCUGCAUGCUCCGCCUCCCGGGCUCUCGCCAUUCUCCUGCCUCAGCCUCCGGAGUAGCUGGGACUACAGGCGCCUGCCACCACGCCCGGCUAAUUUUUUGUAUUUUUACUGGAGACGGGUUUUCACUGUGUUAGACGGGAUAGUAUUGAUCUCCUGACCUCGUGAGCCACCGCGCCCGGCCUGCCAAAAUUUUUAAUGUUUGCAUGUACAUAGUUACUCAACAAAGAGGCCAGGUGUGGUGGCUCACGCCUAUAAUGCCAACACUUUGGGAGGGUUGCCUGAGCCCAGGAGUUCGAGACCAGCCUGGGCAACAUUGUAAGAGCCUGUCUCUUAAAAAUAUAUAUUUUGGGGAGCCAGGUGUGGCACCUCACGCCUGUAAUCCCAACACUGGGAGGCUGAGGUGAGUGGAUUGCUUGAGCUCAGGAGUUCGAGAUCAGCCUGGGCAACAUGGCGAAACCCUGUCUCUACCAAAAAAAAAAAAAAAAAAAAAAGUAGAGGCAUCGUGGUGUGUGCCUGUGGUCCUGGCUACUGGGAAGUCUGAAGUGGGAGGAUCGCUUGAGCCUAGGAGGUGGAGGUUGGAGUACGCCAAGAUCACACCACUGCAUUCCAGCCUUGGUGUCAGAGUUAGACCCUGUCUCAAAAAAUAUAUUUUAAAAUGAUAUUAAGUAAAGAAUAUAGUCCAGCCACAUGAGCAAGUAUUGCUUAUCUAGAAAGACGUAUAAUAAAGUUCUUUUGGGGAGAUAAACUAUGAUCCAUUCUAUGUUUCAUGUAAAUCAGGGGCAGCCAAUCUUCUGGCUUCCUUGGGCCACAUUGGAAGAAUUAUCUUGGGCCACACAUAAAAUACACUAACACUAAUGAUAGCUGAUGAGUUUUUAAAAAGAAUCACAAAAGCAAUGUUUUAGCAAAGUUUAUGAAUUUGUGUUGGGCUGCAUUCAAAGCUGUCCUGGGCCGCAAGGUGGAAAAAACUUGAUCUAAAGUAUUUGAUUUUUUUAGAAAAGUUUUUGAAUGGCCAGGUGUGGUGGCUCACACCUGUAAUCCCAGCACUUUGGGAGGCCGAGGCAGGCGGAUCACGAGAUCAGGAGAUCGAGACCAUCCUGGCCAACAUGCUGAAACUCCAUCUCUACUAAAAUACAAAAACUUAGCCAGGCAUGCUGGCAUGCGCUUGUAGUCCCAGCUACUCGGGAGGCUGAGGCAGGGGAAUCACUUGAACCCAGGAGGCGGAGGUUGCAGUACAGUGAGCCAAGAUCGCGCCACUGUACUCCAGCCUGGUGACAGAGCAAGACUGUCUCAAAAAAAAAAAAAAGGAAGCUUUUGAAUAAGAAGCAACUCUACAGUACUCUAUUGUAGACAACCAAAGUAUUAAUAUUUGGGGGGCACAAUUUCAACCAACUUUAAAUUAUUUCAUUCUGGAAGUAUGUGUUGAGUAAAUAUGAAGUAUAAGGCCCCUAGAGGUACAGAUGGCUAUGGCCGUCUAAACCAUUUUACUCUUAACUUUUAGUGUCAUGGACCUCUUUGUCAAUCUAGUGAAGUCUAUGGACCGCUUUUUUUUAAAAAAGCCUUUAAACAUAUAAAGUACAGUACAUUGAAUUACAAAAGGAUCCAAGAAUAUUGAAAUAGUUACCAAAAAAAUUUGAUAUAGAAAUAUAUGUGGUUUAUUAAUGAAUAAGAUCUAGCAGUGGCCUUACUAUAAUUUCAACACAGUAGCGUGGUGAGCAUAAAUAUUUCAACUUAUCUGCAACAAUUGUAAUGUGAUAUGGAAAUAAUCAGUUUAAUUGUGACAGUCACAUUUACUGCUAACUACUGUGAUUGACUGGCUAUGUUUACAUUUUAUUAGAAGUUAUUGAAAGUAGAUGCCAGGCAUGGUGGCUCAUGCCUGUAAUCCUAGCACUUUGGGAGGCCAAAGUGGGCAGAUCAUUUGAGCCCACGAGUUCGAGACCAGCCUGGCCAACAUGAUGAAGCCCUGUCUCUACUAAAAAUAAAAAAAAAAAUUAGCCUGGCAUGGUGGCCUGCUGUAGUCCCAGCUACUCACAAGGCUGAGGCAGAAGAAUCACUUGAACCAGGGAGGCAAAGAUUGCUGUGAGCUGAGAUCACGCCACUGCACUCCAGCCUGGGCAACAGAGCCCGACCCUGUCUCAAAAUAAAAGAGAGAUGUAAUGGACCCCUUUAAUUAAUCUAUAAACUCCUAAUUAAGAACCCUGGUUAAAAUUUUUUAAUAGGAGCUUGUCUUCUUCACUGUUGUAUCCAAAGCCUGACUGAAAUCUGUAGACACCUAAGCAGUGAAAAAUUUGAUGCCUUAACCUAUAUAAUUUAAAAUCAAAAUAUUUACACUAUAAGGUGAAUUUAAGGAAGAUCUCAUUUUUCUCAUGGUGAAGACUAAGAUACUUUUUCAAAAUUACUAAAUUUUCAUUUGUUUCAUCAGGGAUGAGGUUGGGGGAGGAUCUAGCUCCUUUAUUAAUACCUGAAUAUAUAGGUUUUAAUAUCCAAGCUUGACUAUAUCCACUACACUUGGUACACAACAGAACAAAUGAAUGAACAUUUUCAUGCCUGUAAUCCUAGCACUUUGAGAAGCCAAGGCAGGAGGAUUGCUUAAGCCCAGGAGCUUGUGACCAGCUUGGACAACAUAGGGAGACCUUAUCUCGACAAUAAAUUUAAAAAUUAGCUGGUUGUGGUGGCACGUGCUGGUAGUCCUAGCUACUGGGGAGGCUAAGGUGAGAGGAUCGCUUGAGCCCAAGAGGUUGAGGCUGCAGUGAGCCAUGAUCAUGCCACUGCACUCCAACUUGGGCUACAGAGCAAGACCUUGUCUCUCAACUAAAAAUAAAAAAUAAAAUUCACGAUACUCCCCAAAAGCUGAUGAUAACAUGUAAGAAGCGACUUGAUUUUACCUUCUAACUCUCCCUCCCUUUUAGCACAAUGCUGCAAAAUGACUGGCUCAUAAACCACUAAGCUGCCUUGGCAGCCACUUGUUAUUGUUACCAGUAGGUAAUAUGCUGUUUUCUUCUGCUUGGCACAUAAGCAGUAGGCAUGAAAUAAUUGCUUAAUGGAUAAGUAAGUUGUUAAAUUAUAAAACUCUGAUGGAUUGCUUAGUCCUUUAACAAUUUACACCCCCCUCCCACUUAUCCAAUUCUUUUGUGACAGAUUUUGCACUAGCAAAGUGCACUGUUUCAGACAAUCAAGGAAAUAAAACAUUUCUUGAUGAAAUCCUACCUCGCCUCAACAGGAAACUGAAUUGGAGUCCUCAAUUCUCAGUACAUCAGAACUAGUGUGUGAAAGGAUCAGGAGAGGACCAUAGUAUUGGAGAAUAAAACAUUAUGUAUUGAUGGUUGAGCUUUAUGUCAUCGUGUAGUAAAUGCUAUGACCAUAAAGCCAUUACUGUUAACACUUAAGUUUAUCUUCUGAAAGAAGCCUAUGAAAUAUCUCCAGAAAGACUAGGGGAUUUUCUUCUGUUUGUUUGUUUGUUUGUUUGAGAUGGAGUUUGCUCUGUUGCUCAGGCUGGAGUACAGUGGUGCGAUCUCGGCUCACUGCAACCUCUGCCUCCCAGGUUCAAGUCAUUCUCCUGCCUCAGCCUCUGGAGUAGCCAGGACUACGCACUGCGCCACCACACCCAGCUAAUUUUGUAUUUUUGGUGCAGACAGGGUUUCCCCAUGUUGGCCAGGCUGGUCUUGAACUCCUGGCCUCAAGUGAUCCGCCCACCUCGGCCCAAAGUGCUGGCCACCGCGCCCAGUCAGACUUGUUUUUUAGUGAAAUAAAUUGUUUUCCUUUAGGACCUUAUUCUUUAUGAUAACAGAUUCCAAGAAUAUGCAGUCUUGUCAAUGGCUGUUUCAUCCUCAGUUUCUUUAAAAAUAAAAUACAAUUAGAACAUUUUUAGAUAUGCUAUAUCUAUCCAAUCUAUUUUCCUGUCACCCAGUAAGGUUUUCUAUCAUCAGCACAGGUCUAUGAAAGGACAGUAAAGGGUCUCCUGUUACAUACCCUAGCACUAAUGUUUGUAAUAGAAUGUUAAGAUAAGUUGUUUCAUGUAAUCGGACUACAUUCAGUCUUUCUCUACCCUCUGUCCUCUAUUUACCCACCUAUGCAUGUGGCCUACUAAUUAUAUUGACUGUACAUGACCAGCAAGUUGUAAGUUCUUUUAAAAGCAGGAGCUCAACCAUAUUUGUAUUCACAUUUCCUUCUGCUUAAAACAGGGCUCUUGUUUCUUCAGUAAAUAUUCAUUCGGUAUCCACUAGGUGUCAGAUAAUAUACAAGGUAGGUUCUAGGGAUUCCAAGAUAAAUAAACACAGAUAUGCCAAUAUGAGUCUGACAGUUUUGGCGGGGAGAGGUGGAAAAUAGAUCUGCAAGCCAAAAAAGCUACAGUAGAAUAAUAUAAAUAUUGUAAUGGCAAUAAAAUACCAGAACUAUUAAUUUUACAUUUAGUAAUCAUUCAGUAUCAAUUAAAUGGGUAAAAUGGAUAUGUUGGCAUGAAUGACAUAUAACUGAAAAAACACUAAGAACUGUAUAGAAACUGAAUUAGACAUAUGAGUAAUAUUAGUAGGAAGGGGAGAGAAUAUUUGAUUCCAGGUAGGCUACCAAGCAGGAUGUUUUUUCAGCACAGCCUUGGAAUAAAAUCUGUAACCUUUGAAAACAAUCACAUUUUUGUUCUUAUGCAAUCUUUGUUUUUAAAUGUAUUUAUUGUUUUGGCUCUAGUCCCUGAAUGUUAAAAUUUUAGUGUCAGUGUUAAUUCUCACUUAUCUUCUCCAGACCUUACUCCCUAAUUUUCUCAUUUUCAUUUGCCCCAAUAAGUGCCAACCUUACCUUGAAUAGAAUAGUGGAUUUAUCAGCUUACAAGGACUAAAAAGUCGUCAUUUCCAAAAACAUCUGUCCAAUAAGUCUGCCUCAGUGACUACAUUUCUAGCAUUACAAUGUCAUUCUUAGUACACUGAUUUGAUCUUUACAAAUUACAUAAAUGUAUAAAAUUGUCGCAUGUACCCUAAAUUAUAUACAUCUAUUAUGUAUGUAUCAAUAAAAAAAUAAUUUUCUGUGCUUUUUCUCCUGUUAAAAAGAAUUCUUUUCUUUUUGAGACAGGGCCUGGCUCUGUCACCCAGGCUGGAGUGCAGUGGUGCAAUCUUGGCUCACUGCAGCCCCUGCCUCCCAGGCUGAAGUGAUCCUCCCACCUCAGCCUCCUGAGUAGUUGGGACUACAGAUGGGUACCACCAUGCCUGGCUAAGUUUUUGUAGAGACAGGGUUUUGCCAUGUUGUCCAGGCUGGUCUCAAACUCCUGAGCUCCAGCAGUCUUCCUGGCUUGGCUUCCCAAAGCGCUGGGAUUACAGGUGUGAGCCACCACACCCAGCUGAUUCUUUAGAAGACCAGUAUUGCAUUGUGAUUGCCUCUGGGCAGGAAAACUAAGGGGCAUCAGUAGACUAUGCAAUUACUUUCUUCCUCUUUAAAAAAGUAUUGUUAAUUUUUAAAUUUACAUAUUUUGGUAUACAAUUCUAUGAGUUUUGACAAAUGCAAAGAAUCAUAUAACCACCGCCAUAAUUGAGAUACUAAACAAUUCUAUCACCUCAAAAAAAAUCCUCUUGAGCUGUCUCAUUUAUAAUUUUUGUGAUUAAAAAUGGUUAUUUUUCAAAAAGUAACGUUUGGGCCAGUGCGCCUGGAGUGCACCAGUAGUCCCAGCUACUAGGGAGGCUGAGGCAGGAGAAUUGCUUGAACCCGGGAGGUGGCGAUUGCAAUCAGCUGAGAUCACACCACUGCACUCCACCCUGUGAGUGGGCUACAGAGUGACACUCUGUCUAAAAACAAAAACAAAAAAACACUUUAAAUGUUUCAUAUAGUUAUUCCUUAUUCAAAAAGUAUGCCUUUUUGGGUUAAGACAGUGCCAUUUCAAAUAGCCUUGUAGAAAUAUAAGCAAGGAAAUGCUAAAUUAUACCAUUAUUGAUCAUUAGUACCUUAGCUUGUAGUUUAAACUGUUGAAGAGAAUUAGGACUCCACCUGGCAUUGUGGCAUAAGCCAGUAGUCCCAGCUACCCAGGAGGCUGAGGCCUGAGCUCAGGAGUUCAAGACUAGACUGAGCACAUAGCGAGAUCUUGUCUCAAAAAAUGAAAGAAAAAGAAUUAGGACUCAGAAAAGGUAAAGGGUGUGUGUGUUUGAUUAGAUAGAGGAUGGGAUUGAAGGCUUAAGGAGGAGAUUAGGGCCUGAGAUGGAACAAUGCGCAUGGAAGGAUAGAUAUGGGUAGUGUGUUCUGAGUAAUAUAAGAGACCUAGAUUCUCAAAGAUAGAGGGCACCAAAGAGAUGAGUCCUGUAGAGGGGUGACCUUCAUGUAAAAAAUGAUCUAUCUUAAUUGGGAGCUACAGACCUGGGAUUCUGUACUGAACUUAUACAGAAUAAGUAAUUUACUCUUCAAAAGUCGCUUCCCCAGCUGGGCGCAGUGGCUCAUGGCUGUAAUCCCAACACUUUGGAAGGCUGAGGCAGGUGGAUCACCUGAGGUGAAACCCCGUCUCUACUAAAAAUAAAAAAAAAGUAGCCAGGCAUGGUGGUGGGUGCCUGUAAUCCCGGCUACUCGGGAGGCUGAGGCAGGAGAAUUGCUCGAAACCAAGAGGCAGAGGUCGCAGUGAGCUGAGAUGGUGCCAUUGCACUCCAGCCUGGGCGACAAAUGCAAAAACUGCAUCUAAAGAAAAAAAAAAAAAGUCACUACGCCUUUCUGGGCCUCAAUUUCAUAAUCUGUAAAAUAGUAAGGUUGGACUGAGUAUAUACCAAGGUCCAUUUCAGAGUUCUCCAGCUAGAAGCAAAACCCUUGUGUGUAUGUGUUAGUUUUUUUCCCCUAAGGUUUUGUCCUCUAGUUUUAACUAGAGAGACACAUUUGGGAUAUUAAUAACCGAAUUCUAGCAAGCAUUAUGAUCUCUUCAGAUUUCAUGUAGUUUGAUGUCAGAAGCUGCAUAGCAAAGUUAAGCCUGAUCUGAAUUGGCUUCAAGUGGAUAGAGCUGUAUGACCCUCAGUCUUCUCAUGUAUAGAAUGACUUAUAUACUCUAAACUUCCUUGUAGUUUUCAUAUUUCAUGACUAUGAAACCUGUGAAAACUUACCAGUGUUUUUUCUAUUCAUACUUCCUUUGAGUCUGCAGCUGCUGUUCUUCUGAUUUGAUUUUUUUGUUGUUUAUUUUUAUUAGCCACUAUUCAUUCAGUACCUUUUAUAUGUCAAAACGUUUGAUAUUUAACCUACGUUAUUUAAGGGCUUUUGUACUGCUGCUGUACUUUAUAGGUGCAUAGAUAUGGUAAAAUCACACCAUGCCUCCUGCUCUGACUCUGGAUAACAUAUUCCUACAGCAGGAUCUCAUUUCAAUAAAAAUUAAAAGAAACACUAGAGAGAGGAAGAAGGGGAGAAGAUAAAUGUGGCUUUAAAUUGAUAAGUGAAAGGCAAGGAACUAACAUUUGAGGAUCUACUAUGUGUUAGACACUUUAUAACAUGGAUCUUCUUUAGAUCAUUGAGAUAAGCAGGUAGAAAGACAUCACAAAGGGAGUCUGCUUGUAUUGAUAGCAAGAAGAAAAAAAUGACUUCAUGCCAUAAAUCACUGGAAUUAUUCAGAAUUUUUGUUUUGCAUGUUAUCCUCCAUUAUGAGGACAAAGACAGCAUAAUGUCUCUAUGUAGUAAGUGUUUGGUGAAUGUUUAUUGAAUAAGUAGGGAUUUUUAUCAUGCAUAUAGUAGUGUUUCUUAAUGUUUUGGAUCCAUGGACUUAUAAAAAUUUUAUAAAAGCUAUGGCUACAUCCAGGAUGUUACCUCCCUCCCCUGCCACACACAAAAGGAAACAGCCAAGUCCCUCCCCUCACUCUAACCAUUCCCACAUCUAUAUUUGUGUAAAACCCAUGAUUUUAAACUGUUUGCAGCCCCUCUGUAAUCCAUUCACAUGACCCAAGAACUCAGCCCUGGAAACAUCUCUGGGUAUCCAGGUAGACUAAAAGCAUAGUUCCAUUAAUUUAUAGUGCUAUAUGGUUCUGCCAUGCUUUAUUGGUCCUUUAUAGACUUGAGAAAAUCACACCAUGCCUCUUGACCAUUAACAAAUGGUCAUGUUCAGUCUUCCUUUUUAUGAGUGGAAAUUCCAUCCAAUUUGCUUUUAGGUUCAUUAAUAUGUACUACAACCAAAAGAUCAGCAGCAUUAUAUACUUUAUCUUUUUUAGUCUUUUGAAGUACAAAUUAUGCGAUUUUACAGAUAAAUUAUCUCAUGGGUAGCAUAUGUCUGGCUUUCUAGGUGGAAUGAUUCCUAUUUCUUUUUGUACCUCUCCCCAUUCAGAACUCACUUUGAGGCCAAGCGUGGUUGCUCAGGCCUGUAAUCCCAGCACUUUGGGAGGCCGAGGCAGGUGGAUCACCUGAGGUCAGGAGUUGGAGACCAGCCUGGCCAACACGACAAACCCCGUCUCUACUAAAAAUACAAAAAUUAGCCUGGCAUGGUGGCACACACCUGUAAUUCCAGCUGCUCGGGAGGCUGAAGCAUGAGAAUCACUUGAACCUGGGAGGCAGAGGUUGCAGUGAGCCAAGGUUGCAGUGGAUCAAGAUCACACCACUGCACUCCAGCCUGGGCAAUAGAGUGAGACUCUGUCUCAAGAAGAAGAAAAAGAAAAAAAACUCACUUUAAACUCUGCUAGACCAUUGCCCUUGUAUGUGAAAUUUUAUCUGGAUAGAAGAAGAUGAGGAAAAAAAUUUUCUUGUCUUUUAGUGGAGGAGAAUGACAUGUAAAACAAGUAUUCUUUAAAAAUUCCAAAUAUGAUAUGAGAACUACCCCAUAAAGUUGUGAAGGUCACAUUGGUGAAAGGAAAACUAAGUGCUGUGUAAAUUACAAAGUUGUCUAAGUAUCCACCUGGUCCUUACCUUGCUAUAGAAUCUUUUUUUUUUUUAGACGGAGUCUAGCUCUGUCGCCCAGGCUGGAGUGCAGUGGCGCAAGCUCCGCUUACUGCAAGCUCCGCCUCCUGGGUUCAUGCCAUUCUCCUGCCUCAACCGCCCGAGUAGCUGGGAUUACAGGUGCCCACCACCACGCCCAGCUAAUUUUUUUUUUUUUUUUGUAUUUUUAGUAGAGACGGGGUUUUCCCAUGUUAGCCAGGAUGGUCUUGAUCUCCUGACCUCGUGAUCUGCCCACCUCGGCCUCCCAAGGUGCUGGGAUUACAGGUGUGAGCCACCACGCCCAGCCUACCUUGCUAUAGAAUCUUUAGGCCUAAUAUAGUCUAGCCAGAACAGCUAUUUGGAUGCUUGCCUAAUCUUCAAUACUGGUUUCCCUUUUAUACAUGACUGCAAAACUGACUCUCACCUAGGUUUGUGAUGUUAGAAACUCCAGUUGUUUACUAUUAUUAUUAAAGUGGGAAACGGAGUUCGUUGAUCAAAUGGAUUAAUGUUUUGAGUACUUACUAUACACCAGGGGCUCUUAAAUUUUUACAUAAACUUUCUGGAUGGAGAGUGAUAGAAUCUCCAUUGUUCACUUGCCACAAGCCACACCAUUUGUAGCUAACAUUUGAAUGCUUACUAUGAGCAAAGGCACUGUUCCAAGGGCAUUACAUGCACAUCAUUCAUAUUUCUCAUUUAAUCUUUAUAACAACUCCUUAAAAUACUGGUAGUAUUCUUGUUCCCUAAUUUGUCAAUAAGAAAACUGAAAUUUAGAGAUUAUACAAUUUGCCCAGCACUAUUGGAAAGCUGGGACUUUGAAACCUGGCUGAUUUGACUCCAAAGUCUGCACUCUAUUCCAACAGACUGCCAGUGCCUCCAGAAUUAAUUAGCAUUAAUAUUUUCUGUUGUUUAUGAUCUAAGUAUGGCUGUCCAUGGCAGGGAGUUAAUGAGGGAGGCAUUAAUGGGGAAACACUGGACCACUUCUGAGAGAUGUGGUGCCCUCCCUCACAAACAGGUUUCUUGUGGUGAAAUCAGGUUGGAAGGAUAAGAGAGGCUGAAGAAGGUGGAGGUGGUGUAGUUGGGCCUGUUUAGGAACUGAUUACAUCUGAGCCUCUGGCCCUUUUUCCUGCCAGCUGACUCAGAGCUGGCAGAUGGGCCAAAGUCCAGGCAGGUUGAUUUCAUGGGCUGUAUACUUCAAAGGAUCUGAUUCCUGGUGCUACUAAGCACAUUGCUUUUCCGAAGGCACAGUCUUGUGGGGGAGGGAACAGGAUGGUCUCCAUGAGGUGUUUGUGAAAGCCCUAGGCAAUGUUUGCUCUAAUCCAAAUAUAUACAGCUUGUUUUGAGUUUGGCAAUAAAACACAGAGCCAGCCCUAAGCAGGGCUGAAAACUGAGUAUUUAAACCUUAAGUAUUCUGCAAUACAACAACAGUUAAGUAUAUGGGUCCUAGAGUCAGAUAGAACUGAAAUCUAAUCUUGACUUCACCACUCAGCUGUAGAUAAAUUACUAGACCUCAGUUUUCUUGUUCGUGAAAUGGGGAUUUUAGUUAUAGAGUACCUACUUCAUAUGGUUGUCGUGAGGAUUAAACAAAAAUGUAUACCACAGUACCUGAGAUGUAGUAAACACUCUUGAAACAUUAGUCAUUAUUCAUUUUUUAAAUUUUUCCUUCAAAUACUUUCCUAUCCAAUAGUCAUUAUUCAUUGAAAACUUCUAUUUUAUAAGACGAUCUCAGCACUUAAACAAAAUAAAUUGAUUCAUCAUGUUUUCACUUAACAGGCAUUCAAAAGGCAUUUAUUAUUGUGUUGGGUAGAUGGAUGGAGAAAAUAGCAAUAAUUUUUGUUGAACACCUAAAAUGAGCCAAACUUUUUAAAAAAUAUUGUCUCAUUUUAUGCUCACAACAGCUCUAUGAAGUAUUUUCCUAUAUUAUAGAUGAGAUCAUGGGCCAAGAGAGGAUUAGCAACAUGCCUAAGAUCAUAUAGUCAGCACUGUCUAAUUCUGAAGCCUAUGAAUAAGGUAGCAUUUAUCCCCACGGAAGCAUGGUAUUCAGCAGGCAGGCAGACACAUAAACAAGUACAGCUGGCCCAUCUAGCCUCACGUUCUGCAUCCAUGGAUUCAACCAAAAAUGGAUUUAAAAUAUUGGGGAAAAAACAAAUAAUAAAACAACUAAAAAAUACAAAUUUUAAAAUAUAGUAUAACAACUACUUACAUAGCUUUUACAUUGUAUUAGGUAUUAUAAGUAAUGUAGAGAUGGUUUAAAGUAUACAAGAGAGUCUGGACACAGUGGCUUAUGCCUGUAAUCCCAGCUUUUUGGGAGGCCAAGGUGGGUGGAUCCCUUGAGCCCAGGAGUUUGAGACCAGCCUGAGCAACAAGAUGAAACCCUGUCUCUACAAAAAAUACAAAAAUUAGCCAGAUGUGUUGGUGCAUGCCUGUGGUCCCAGCUACUCGGGAGAGUGAGGUGGGAGAAUCACUUGAGCCUCAGAGAUCGAGGCUGCAGUAAGCUGUAAUCACGCCACUGCACUCCAGCCUGGGUGACAGAGUAAGACCCUGUCUCAAAAGUAAUAAUAAUAAUAAAGUAUACAAGAGGAUGUCAUAUGUUAUAUGCAAAUAUUAUACCUUUUUUUUUUUUUUUUUUUGAGACAGUCUCUUGCUCUGUUGCCCAGGCUGGAGUAGAGUGGUGCUAUCAUAGCUGACUGUAACCUCGAACUCUUUCCUGAACUUGAGUGAUCUUCCUGCUUCAGCCUCCCAAGUAGCUGAGACUACAGGCAUGUGCCAUCACAUCCAGCUAAUUUUUAAUUUUUAAUUUUUUUUGUAGAGAUGGGGUCUCACUGUGGUGCCCAGGCUGUUAUGCCAUUUUAUAUAAGGGACUUGAACAUCUGCAGAUUUCAAGGGGAAAGAGUUUGAGGUUACAGUCAGCUAUGAUAGCACCACUCUACUCCAGCCUGGGCAACAGAGCCAGAGACUGUCUCAAAAAAAAAAAAAAAAAGAGGAGAGUCCUGGAACCAACUCCCCACAGUUAUGGAGGAAGGACUGUACCUACAGUCAAAGUGCUGUCGUUGAGUUUUACACUAGGUGCUUGGGAGAACAGAAUGGAAUAGGUGAACUCUGGGCAUGAAGUGAAGGUAGUCCCCUUCACAGGAAUAAAUGCUAAUAAUGGGGCUUCAGGUGAGAAUGAGGAAGGAAGCCUUUGCUGGUGGAGGAGUUAAGGGAGUUCUUUCUGGGUUUCCCUAAGUCACACUAGAAGAAAAGGGUUACAGGGAGGCCUUUCUGGAAUUCCUCAAGUCAAUAUGACAGCCUCUUAGAUCCAGCAUUACAACUGCAGCAAAUUUUAUAGCUGCAAACAAAGAAACUGUCUCCAGAGAGACAGAUUAUGUUGUUUACUUGAGGCAAAAUGGUGGGGGUUCUAUAUAAAUGAUAUGUCUGCAUCCGAAUCAUCUGUACCUUUUUGGGCUUUAGAACCAAACCUAAUAGUAAUAAUAGCAACCAAUUCUUAACUGCAUGAUCAUUAGGUACUAAUCACUGCUAUGUUCACAGGCUAGAACUCUCAACUGGAGAAAGGUAGAGUUGUUUGUCUAAAUCAAUAAUCUCAAAUUAAGUACACUUAAUUUGAGCAUAUACCCCCAAUAUAUGUAUAUUACUUUAUAAGUUAUACACAUCCACUAUUGGGCUAAUAUAAAAUAUACAUUAUGAAAUGUAAACAAAAAGUUUGAAGGAAUACAAUGAAAAUGAAUAAACUUUUAUCUCAGGGAAAAUAUAUACUUAGGUUUCUGUAUCUUGUUAUUAAGUGGAUACAAAUUAAUACUGUAUUUCAAAUAGAUUUUUUAAUAGUUUUGGAUGUUUUGAGUCAGCUGGUCAGAUUUUGUUAAUCAUUGUAUUUAACUUCAUAAUGUGACUGAUGAAGGGAUCAUACUAAGUAAAAGUGUCAGUUCUGCCAUUUGAGAGUGGGGGAUCCUAUGUAUCAUCUUCAAUUCACAGGGUUUUCUUUUUCCCAGCAAUUUUUUAAAACCAAUUAUUCACUUUGUAAUAUUUCAUUUUGUUAAAGUUAGAUUUUAAAAAUCCAUAAAUCCCCUUUUGAACCACAAUAUGUCACUAAUGCUCAAAGAAAGAAACUCCAUUUGUAUCUCAUCUGAUGUGAGCGUCAAAUAUAGAAACAAUGUGGGGAUGCCAACCUCAAUCCAUAUGGAUGAAUAGGGCUUAAUUUUCUCAUGAUAAACCUAAGUAGAAGCUAUGAAAAUUCUUACCACACUUCAGUGAAUUAUCUUGUAUACCUCUAGAGUGAGCACAUUCCACUUUGGAGAUCAGUAGUCUCAGCAACAAGACCUGUGGCCAUAAAGUGGGAAUAAACAAUCCAAUUUUUAGCAAUGCUUGGCCCAGAUUCACUUAUGAGUGACAUGAGAAAGGUACAACAUGAUAUUCCAGGAAAUCAGAAGAGCUAAGUAUAUCUGAACCUUUGAGAGUAUGGCCUGUCCAUACAAAGGCAGAAUCUACAUUUGUCAAGUGCCUUCAAGAAACAUUCUACCAAGAUAUGCACCUCCACAAAAGUAAGAAAAAGAGAAAAAAAAGAUUUUAAAAUUUUAUUUUAUUUUUUUGAGAUGGAGUCUCGCUCUGUCCCCCAGGUUGGAGUGCAGUGGCGCUAUCUCAGCUCACUGCAAGCUCCGCCUCCCAGGUUCACUCCAUUCUCCUGCCUCAGCCUCCCAAGUAGCUGGGACUACAGGCGCCCACCACCACACCCGGCUAUUUUUUUUUUUUUGUAUUUUUAGUAGAGACGGGGUUUCACCGUGUUAGCCAGGAUGGUCUCAAUCUCCUGACCUCGUGAUCCACCCACCUUGGCCUCCCAAAGUGCUGGGAUUACAGGCGUGAGCCACCGCACCUGGCCUUUAAAAUUUUAUUUUUAAAAAAUCACACACACACAAAAUACAUUCUACUUUUUAAGAAAAUUGACUUAGAUUUAAUCCCAGCUCUGCUAUUUGCUAACCAUGCAAUUUUGGGAAAGUAACGACCUAUUGGAGCCUGUUUCCCAUCUCCAAAGUGAGAAUGAUUAAUGCUAUACCUACUUCACUGAGAAGAAGAGUGUAUCAUGGUCAUAUUGACCCCUCACUAUGUGCAUAGAGAUGCUGAGCUAAACUCUUUACAAGCGUUUAUUUAAUCCUCAAUAUACCAGUGACUAGAGGCUAAGCAGUUUACCAAAGCAUUUUCCUUUCCCUCCUUAGCACACAGGACUAUAUUUCCUGGCCUCCUUUGCAGUUAGGUGCAGCCACAUUACUGUGUUCUAGCCAUUGAAAUAUGGAAAGAAAUGAUCAAUACUACCUCCAGCCCUGGCCCAUAAAACUUUCCUUUCCAUUCUUCGUGCUCUCAUUCUUCCUUCAUCUGCCGGAGGAUUCAGCAGAACCAUUAGGUGCACAGAGCUCUUCUCUCCUCCCACUACUUCCAACGUGCAUUGAACUGUGAUGUGAGCCAGAAAUAAACUCUUAUUGUGUUAAAU
rnacentral:lncRNA from 1 species